UGAGGAAUAUUGCGCAAUGGCCGAAAGGCUGACGCAGCAACGCCGCGUGAGGGAUGAAGUUCUUUAGAAUGUAAACCUCUGUCUGAAGGGACGAAUAAGCAGAUAGCGAAUAGGUAUUUGCUCUGACGGUACCUUCAAAGAAAGCCCCGGCUAACUCCGUGCCAGCAGCCGCGGUAAUACGGGGGGGGCUAGCGUUGUCCGGAAUUAUUGGGCGUAAAGGGCGCGUAGGUGGGACGCUUAGUCCGAGGUGUAAUCUUACGGCUUAACUGUAAGCUUACCUUGGAAACGGGCGUUCUUGAGUUCGGAAGAGGGAAGUGGAAUUUCUGGUGUAGCGGUGAAAUGCGUAGAUAUCAGAAAGAACACCGGUGGCGAAGGCGGCUUCCUGGUCCGAUACUGACACUGAGGCGCGAAAGUGUGGGGAGCAAACAGG
rnacentral:rRNA from 1 species